AGAGUUUGAUCCUGGCUCAGAACGAACGCUGGCGGCAUGCUUAACACAUGCAAGUCGAACGAUGGCUUCGGCCAUAGUGGCGCACGGGUGAGUAACGCGUGGGAACCUGCCUUCUGGUUCGGAAUAACCACGGGAAACUGUGGCUAAUACCGGAUACGCCCUUUGGGGGAAAGAUUUAUUGCCGGAAGAGGGGCCCGCGU
rnacentral:rRNA from 1 species